rnacentral:rRNA from 1 species
ACGGAAGGCAGCAGUGAGGAAUAUUGGUCAAUGGGCGCAGGCCUGAACCAGCCAAGUCGCGUGAGGGAUGACGGUCCUACGGAUUGUAAACCUCUUUUGCCGGGGAGUAAUGUGCGGGACGAGUCCCGUAUUGAGAGUACCCGGAGAAAAAGCAUCGGCUAACUCCGUGCCAGCAGCCGCGGUAAUACGGAGGAUGCGAGCGUUAUCCGGAUUUAUUGGGUUUAAAGGGAGCGCAGGCGGCGCGUCAAGUCAGCGGUAAAAUGUCGGGGCUCAACCCCGGCCGGCCGUUGAAACUGCCGUGCUCGAGUUCGUGCGAGGAGAGCGGAAUGCGUGGUGUAGCGGUGAAAUGCAUAGAUAUCACGCAGAACGCCGAUUGCGAAGGCAGCCCUCCAGCACUGGACUGACGCUGGGGCUCGAAAGCGGGUAUCGAACAGGAUUAGAUACCCUGGUA